ACCAGCUCUCACUCUUAUCCGCCUGCGCGCCCACCGCGCCGCCCACCCGCGCCCACCCCAGCGCCCCAAAUACCGCUCCAACCCUAGCCUCCCGCCACGCCUUUCGAUCUCGGGCGGCCAUGGGCAACUGCUGCCGCUCGCCGACCACCAUCGCGUGGGAGGACGUCAGCUCCUCGCACUUCCCCGCAUCCAACGCAAAGAAGAAGCCGCACCAAGCGCGGAACGGCGGCGGCGGCGACGGGCAGAAGCGGCUCUCGGUUCUGGCCGGGCGACGAGGGGUGCGAGGUCAUCGGGAUCGAUGACAAGUACGUCCUGGACAGGGAGCUCGACCGCGGGGAGUUCGGGGUGACAUACCUGUGUAUGGAUCGGGACACCAAGGAGCUGCUCGCCUGCAAGUCCAUCUCCAAGCGCAAGCUGCGGACGACCAUCGACGUGGAGGACGUGCGCCGGGAGGUGGCCAUCAUGCGCCACCUGCCCAAGAGCCCGAGCGUCAUGUCCCUGCGGGAGGCGUGCGGGGACGAGGGCACCGUCCACCUCGUCAUGGAGCUCUGCGAGGGCGGCGAGCUCUUGGACCGCAUCGUCGCGCAGGGGCACUACACCGAGUGCGCCGCCACCAAUGUCACCCGCACCAUCGUCGUGGUCGUCCAGCUCUACCAUCGGCAUGACAUCAUCCACCGCGACCUCAAGCCGGAGAACAUCCUCUUCACCAAUAAGAAGGAGAACUCGCCACUCAUGGUCUCUCCAUCUUCUUCAAGCCUAGUGAGUCACACCAGCCGAGAUCCUUUCCCAAUUUCGGACGAUUUUCUGCGCACUUCCGUGAUUUCUGGUUUUAGUGGGAGGAAAUUUGACGGUAGAGCUCAGAGUAGCAAAAUGUACUUCUUUUUUCCUGCAAUCCAUAAAACAUGUGGUUAUUACUAGCUCUGCAUCCCGGAAACAACUU